UGCACUGCCUGGCACCUGCACUCAGCAGUUGACUCUUGCUGGGUGUCCAAAGGACAGUGAGAUAAGUUCAGUAUCUGGCAUUGUUGAUUUUCUUGGCUUUGUGCAUGCUAAACCUGAUAUUUUUGCUACAGCA